GCAACCCUGACGGAGCAACGCCGCGUGUGGGAGGACGGCCUUCGGGUUGUAAACCACUUUUCUCAGGGAAGAAGGACUGACGGUACCUGAGGAAUAAGCCUCGGCUAACUCCGUGCCAGCAGCCGCGGUAAUACGGAGGAGGCAAGCGUUAUCCGGAAUUAUUGGGCGUAAAGCGUCCGCAGGGGGCGCAUCAAGUCUGCUGUUAAAGGUCGGAGCUAAACUCCGGUAGAGCAGUGGAAACUGGUGCGCUAGAGGGCGACAGGGGUAGAGGGAAUUCCCAGUGUAGCGGUGAAAUGCGUAGAGAUUGGGAAGAACACCGGUGGCGAAAGCGCUCUACUGGGUCGCACCUGACCCUCAGGGACGAAAGCUAAGGUAGCG
rnacentral:rRNA from 1 species